rnacentral:rRNA from 1 species
UACGUAGGUGGCAAGCGUUGUUCGGAAUCACUGGGCGUAAAGGGCGCGUAGGCGGCUUUAUAAGUCGGGGGUGAAAGCCUGUGGCUCAACCACAGAAUUGCCUUCGAUACUGUAGAGCUUGAGACCGGAAGAGGUAAGUGGAACUGCGAGUGUAGAGGUGAAAUUCGUAGAUAUUCGCAAGAACACCAGUGGCGAAGGCGGACUUACUGGUCCGGUUCUGACGCUGAGGCGCGAAAGCGUGGGGAGCAAACAGG